rnacentral:rRNA from 1 species
UACAGAGGUCCCCAAGCGUUGUUCGGAUUCACUGGGCGUAAAGGGUGCGCAGGUGGGCUGGUAAGUUCGAUGUGAAAAGCCCCCGGGCGUUAACCCGGGUAACGUGGCAUUGGAUACUACUGGUCUGGAGGAUUGGAGGGGGGACGUGGAAUUCUUGGUGUAGCAGUGAAAUGCGUAGAUAUCAAGAGGAACACCAGUGGCGAAGGCGAGUCCCUGGACAA